AGCAUAUCAAUAAGCGGAGGAAAAGAAACCAACCGGGAUUGCCCUAGUAACGGCGAGUGAAGCGGCAAGAGCUCAAAUUUGAAAGCUGGCUCCUUCGGGGUCCGCAUUGUAAUUUGCAGAGGAUGCUUCGGGAGCGGUCCCCAUCUAAGUGCCCUGGAACGGGCCGUCAUAGAGGGUGAGAAUCCCGUCUGGGAUGGGGUGCCCGCGCCCGUGUGAAGCUCCUUCGACGAGUCGAGUUGUUUGGGAAUGCAGCUCUAAUUGGGUGGUAAAUUUCAUCUAAAGCUAAAUAUUGGCCGGAGACCGAUAGCGCACAAGUAGAGUGAUCGAAAGAUGAAAAGCACUUUGAAAAGAGAGUUAAACAGCACGUGAAAUUGUUGAAAGGGAAGCGCUUGCGAUCAGACUCGCCCGCGGGGUUCAGCCGGCAUUCGUGCCGGUGUACUUCCCCGUGGGCGGGCCAGCGUCGGUUUGGGCGGCCGGUCAAAGGCCCCUGGAAUGUAACGCCUCUCGGGGCGUCUUAUAGCCAGGGGUGCCAUGCGGCCUGCCCGGACCGAGGAACGCGCUUCGGCUCGGACGCUGGCAUAAUGGUCGUAAGCGACCCGUCUUGAAACACGGACCAAGGAGUCUAACAUCUACGCGAGUGUUCGGGUGUCAAACCCGUGCGCGCAGUGAAAGCGAACGGAGGUGGGAACCCCCCGGGGUGCACCAUCGACCGAUCCUGAUGUCUUCGGAUGGAUUUGAGUAAGAGCGUAGCUGUUGGGACCCGAAAGAUGGUGAACUAUGCCUGAAUAGGGCGAAGCCAGAGGAAACUCUGGUGGAGGCUCGCAGCGGUUCUGACGUGCAAAUCGAUCGUCAAAUUUGGGUAUAGGGGCGAAAGACUAAUCGAACCAUCUAGUAGCUGGUUCCUGCCGAAG
rnacentral:rRNA from 1 species